rnacentral:piRNA from 1 species
UAUGAGGGCAUGUGCUUCUGCAGGAGA